ACGAACGCUGGCGGCAUGCCUAACACAUGCAAGUCGAACGGAGAUUACUUCGGUAAUCUUAGUGGCGAACGGGUGAGUAACGCGUGGGCAACCUGCCCUCUAGAUAGGGACAACAUCCCGAAAGGGGUGCUAAUACCGAAUGUGACAGCAAUCUCGCAUGAGGAUGCUGUGAAAGAUGGCCUCUAUUUAUAAGCUAUCGCUAGAGGAUGGGCCUGCGUCUGAUUAGCUAGUUGGUGGGGUAACGGCCUACCAAGGCGAUGAUCAGUAGCCGGUCUGAGAGGAUGAACGGCCACAUUGGGACUGAGACACGGCCCAAACUCCUACGGGAGGCAGCAGUGGGGAAUCUUCCGCAAUGGGCGAAAGCCUGACGGAGCAAUGCCGCGUGAGUGAUGAAGGAAUUCGUUCCGUAAAGCUCUUUUGUUUAUGACGAAUGUGCAGGUUGUGAAUAAUGACUUGUAAUGACGGUAGUAAACGAAUAAGCCACGGCUAACUACGUGCCAGCAGCCGCGGUAAUACGUAGGUGGCGAGCGUUGUCCGGAAUUAUUGGGCGUAAAGAGCAUGUAGGCGGUUUUUUAAGUCUGGAGUGAAAAUGCGGGGCUCAACCCCGUAUGGCUCUGGAUACUGGAAGACUUGAGUGCAGGAGAGGAAAGGGGAAUUCCCAGUGUAGCGGUGAAAUGCGUAGAUAUUGGGAGGAACACCAGUGGCGAAGGCGCCUUUCUGGACUGUGUCUGACGCUGAGAUGCGAAAGCCAGGGUAGCGAACGGGAUUAGAUACCCCGGUAGUCCUGGCCGUAAACGAUGGGUACUAGGUGUAGGAGGUAUCGACCCCUUCUGUGCCGGAGUUAACGCAAUAAGUACCCCGCCUGGGGAGUACGUCCGCAAGGAUGAAACUCAAAGGAAUUGACGGGGGCCCGCACAAGCGGUGGAGUAUGUGGUUUAAUUCGACGCAACGCGAAGAACCUUACCAGGUCUUGACAUCCACUUAAACUUACAGAGAUGUAAGGUGUGCUUGCACAAAGUGAGACAGGUGGUGCAUGGCUGUCGUCAGCUCGUGUCGUGAGAUGUUGGGUUAAGUCCCGCAACGAGCGCAACCCCUAUCCUAUGUUACCAGCGGGUAAUGCCGGGGACUCAUAGGAGACUGCCAAGGACAACUUGGAGGAAGGCGGGGAUGACGUCAAGUCAUCAUGCCCCUUAUGUCUUGGGCUACACACGUACUACAAUGGUCGGCAACAGAGGGAAGCGAAGCCGUGAGGCAGAGCAAACCCCAGAAACCCGAUCUCAGUUCGGAUUGCAGGCUGCAACUCGCCUGCAUGAAGUCGGAAUCGCUAGUAAUCGCAGGUCAGCAUACUGCGGUGAAUACGUUCCCGGGCCUUGUACACACCGCCCGUCACACCACGAAAGUUGGUAACACCCGAAGCCGGUGGGGUAACCGUAAGGAGCCAGCCGUCUAAGGUGGGGCCGAUGAUUGGGGUG
rnacentral:rRNA from 1 species